rnacentral:rRNA from 1 species
AGAGUUUGAUCCUGGCUCAGGAUGAACGCUGGCGGCGUGCUUAACACAUGCAAGUCGAACGAAGCACCUGAGAAUGAUUCUUCGGAUGAAGUCUCUUGUGACUGAGUGGCGGACGGGUGAGUAACGCGUGGGUAACCUGCCUCACACAGGGGGAUAACAGUUGGAAACGACCGCUAAUACCGCAUAACCCGCUGGUGCCGCAUGGCACUGACGGAAAAGAUUUUAUCGGUGUGAGAUGGACCCGCGUCUGAUUAGCCAGUUGGCAGGGUAACGGCCUACCAAAGCGACGAUCAGUAGCCGGCCUGAGAGGGUGAACGGCCACAUUGGGACUGAGACACGGCCCAGACUCCUGCGGGAGGCAGCAGUGGGGAAUAUUGCACAAUGGGGGAAACCCUGAUGCAGCGACGCCGCGUGAGUGAAGAAGUAUUUCGGUAUGUAAAGCUCUAUCAGCAGGGAAGAAAAUGACGGUACCUGAUUAAGAAGCCCCGGCUAACUACGUGCCAGCAGCCGCGGUAAUACGUAGGGGGCAAGCGUUAUCCGGAUUUACUGGGUGUAAAGGGAGCGUAGACGGUGAUGCAAGUCAGAAGUGAAAGCCCGGGGCUCAACUCCGGGACUGCUUUUGAAACUGUGUGACUGGAGUGCAGGAGAGGUAAGCGGAAUUCCUGGUGUAGCGGUGAAAUGCGUAGAUAUCAGGAGGAACACCAGUGGCGAAGGCGGCUUACUGGACUGUAACUGACGUUGAGGCUCGAAAGCGUGGGGAGCAAACAGGAUUAGAUACCCUGGUAGUCCACGCCGUAAACGAUGAUUACUAGGUGUCG